CCUAAAUGGAGAGUUUGAUCCUGGCUCAGGACGAACGCUGGCGGCGUGCCUAAUACAUGCAAGUCGAGCGGAGUUGAUAGAGUGCUUGCACUCUUGAUGCUUAGCGGCGGACGGGUGAGUAACACGUAGGUAACCUGCCCGUAAGACUGGGAUAACAUUCGGAAACGAAUGCUAAUACCGGAUACACAA
rnacentral:rRNA from 1 species